rnacentral:pre_miRNA from 1 species
CAGUGCUAAUUACAGUCAGUUUUGCAGGUUUGCAUCCCAGCUUACUAAAAUUGCUGUGCAAAUCCAUGCAAAACUGACUGUGGUGGUGGUG